AUUGAACGCUGGCGGCAGGCCUAACACAUGCAAGUCGAACGAGUGGCGGACGGGUGAGUAAUGUCUGGGAAACUGCCUGAUGGAGGGGGAUAACUACUGGAAACGGUAGCUAAUACCGCAUACCAUCAGAUGUGCUCAGAUGGGUUGAGCUAGUAGGUGGGGUAAUGGCUCACCUAGGUGACGAUCCCUAGCUGGUCUGAGAGGAUGCCCAGCCACACUGGAAGUGAGACACGGUCCAGACGCCUACGGGAGGCAUCAGUGGGGAAUAUGGCGCAAUGGGCGCAAGCCUGGUGCAGCCAAGCCGCGUGUGUGAAGAAGGCCUUCGGGUUUUAAAGCACUUGCAGCGAGGAGGCGUUACUCGCAGAAGAAGCACCGGCUAACUCCGUGCCAGCAGCCGCGGUAAUAC
rnacentral:rRNA from 1 species